rnacentral:rRNA from 1 species
AGUGAACGCUGGCGGUAGGCCUAACACAUACAAGUCGAACGGCAGCACAGGAGAGCUUGCUCUCUGGGUGGCGAGUGGCGGACGGGUGAGGAAUACAUCGGAACCUACCUUUUCGUGGGGGAUAACGUAGGGAAACUUACGCUAAUACCGCAUACGACCUACGGGUGAAAGUGGGGGACCGCAAGGCCUCACGCGAUUAGAUGAGCCGAUGUCCGAUUAGCUAGUUGGCGGGGUAAUGGCCCACCAAGGCGACGAUCGGUAGCUGGUCUGAGGGGAUGAUCGUCCACACUGGAACGGAGACACGGUCCAGACUCCUACGGGAGGCAGCGGUGGGGAAGAUUGGACAAUGGGCGCAAGCCUGAUCCAGCCAUACCGCGUGGGUGAAGAAGGCCUUCGGGUUGUAAAGCCCUUUUGUUGGGAAAGAAAUCCUGUCGAUUAAUACUCGGUGGGGAUGACGGUACCCAAAGAAUAAGCACCGGCUAACUUCUUGCCAGCAGCCGCCGUAACAC